rnacentral:rRNA from 1 species
AUAGCGACUAUCGUGGCAUAUCAAUAAGCGGAGGAAAAGAAACUAACAAGGAUUCCCUUAGUAAUGGCGAGUGAAGCGGGAAGAGCUCAAAUUUGAAAUCUUCAAGGUUUUACCUUGACGAAUUGUAGUUUAAAGAAGUGUUUUCUGUUGAAGUUUUGGUAAAAGUUCUUUGGAAUAGGACAUCAUAGAGGGUGAGAAUCCCGUAUUUGACCAUUAUUUUCAGCUGUGUGAUACACUUUCAAAGAGUCGGAUUGUUUGGGAAUGCAGUCCAAAAUGGGUGGUAAAUUUCAUCUAAAGCUAAAUAUUGGCGAGAGACCGAUAGCGAACAAGUACCGUGAGGGAAAGAUGAAAAGAACUUUGAAAAGAGAGUUAAACAGUACGUGAAAUUGUCAAAAGGGAAGCGUUUGACACCAGUGUUGUUUAGUUGAAAAUCAAUUCAAUAGUUUUUGAUUCUAAGUAGUUAUGACUUCAUCAGCUUGCUGCUUUCUUUACAGAAACUUUCUUGAAUGCACUUUUCAGUUAACAAGUCAACAUCAAUUUCUUUUGUUGUAAAAGGGUAUGAGGAAGGUGGCUUGCGCUUUCGGAUAAAGUGUUUAUAGCCUUGUGCUCUCUGCAAUCGGAGAGAUUGAGGUCUGCAGCGUAGAUCCUUCGGGGUUAGAUACAUUGGUGCUAAGUUAUAGCUUUUCAUAGACAACUUGUUGACUAUGUUCAGUCAUUGUAGCUUACUCGCUUACGCUAUUUUACCUACGCUUAGGAUGUUGACGCGCGUGUGUGCGUG